CAACGAGCGCAACCCUCGUCGUUAGUUGCCAUCAUUAAGUUGGGAACUCUAGCGAGACUGCCGGUGACAAACCGGAGGAAGGUGAGGAUGACGUCAAGUCAGCAUGGCCCUUACGUCCUGGGCGACACACGUACUACAAUGCGAGGGACAGAGAGCAGCCAACCCGCGAGGGAGAGCGAACCUCUUAAACCCUGGCACAAGUUCAGAUUGCAGGCUGCAACUCGCCUGCAUGAAGGAGGAAUCGCUAGUAAUCGCAGGUCAGCAUACUGCGGUGAAUCCGUUCCCGGGCCUU
rnacentral:rRNA from 1 species